rnacentral:rRNA from 1 species
GACUUGACAUCUCCUGAAUUACUCUUAAUCGAGGAAGUCCCUUCGGGGACAGGAAGACAGGUGGUGCAUGGUUGUCGUCAGCUCGUGUCGUGAGAUGUUGGGUUAAGUCCCGCAACGAGCGCAACCCUUAUUGUUAGUUGCUACUAUUAAGUUAAGCACUCUAACGAGACUGCCGCGGUUAACGUGGAGGAAGGUGGGGAUGACGUCAAAUCAUCAUGCCCCUUAUGUCUAGGGCUACACACGUGCUACAAUGGCUGGUACAACGAGCAGCAAACCCGCGAGGGGGAGCAAAACUUGAAAGCCAGUCCCAGUUCGGAUUGUAGGCUGAAACUCGCCUACAUGAAGUUGGAGUUGCUAGUAAUCGCGAAUCAGCAUGUCGCGGUGAAUACGUUCCCGGGUCUUGUACACACCGCCCGUCACACCAUGAGAGCCGGUAACACCCGAAGCCCGUGAGGUAACCGUAAGGAGCCAGCGGUCGAAGGUGGGAUUGGUGAUUGGGGUGAAGGCGUAACAAGGUAGCCGUAGGAGAACCUGCGGCUGGAUCACCUCCUUUCUAGGGA